GACCUGAAGCUAGAAAGUGGCAGCAGCAGAACUGUCCAUUUUCAGCCAAGAGAGGUGGGAAGGGGGAAAAGGACUCAUCACUAUGAUUUGGUUAUUUCUGGUUCUCCUCUGCAACAUCUUGCACAGCUCAGAUCAGAGCCAUUUGGAACAUUCAGACCAUUUAUUUGUAACCCAUUCAGAAGGGCAGAGAAGUCUAGAUGAACAUCACUCAG